UGCCAGACUCCUACGGGAGGCAGCAGUGAGGAAUAUUGGUCAAUGGCCGGGAGGCUGAACCAGCCAAGUCGCGUGAGGGAAGACGGCCCUACGGGUUGUAAACCUCUUUUGUCAGGGAGCAAGGUGCAGGUCGGGACCUGCUGUGAGAGUACCUGAAGAAAAAGCAUCGGCUAACUCCGUGCCAGCAGCCGCGGUAAUACGGAGGAUGCGAGCGUUAUCCGGAUUCACUGGGUGUAAAGGGAGCGUAGACGGCGGCGCAAGUCUGGAGUGAAAGCCCGGGGCCCAACCCCGGGACUGCUCUGGAAACUGCGGCGCUGGAGUACGGGAGGGGCAGGCGGAAUUCCUGGUGUAGCGGUGAAAUGCGUAGAUAUCAGGAGGAACACCGGCGGCGAAGGCGGCCUGCUGGACCGUGACUGACGUUGAGGCUCGAGAGCGUGGGGAGCAAACAGGAUUAGAUGCCCCCGUA
rnacentral:rRNA from 1 species